UUGAAAAUACACAGCCCGCCUCUCCCUUCAGCCCUCCCCUCAAAGCCACGCCUUCAAAACACAUGAACGCGCAUGCAGUCUGUCAAGUGUUCGGAUUAUCCCGGGAACCCACGAGAGCUCACGAGGCGGGGGCGGGCUAGAAGCCACGACAAAUCGAUUAGCCAAGCUAACUUCCAGCCAUGGCACUGUCUCCGGCUACGACCUUCCACGACCACGAGAGCUCCAGCUCUGACUUUCCUGGCCCAUCACAAUCAUAACGACCUAACAGCCCAGUAGGACCGAUGGCCAGAGAUGGAGGAGGAGGAAGAUAGACGCAGCAGAGGUCGGGGGUAUUGAUUAGGGAGACUCCAACAGAAUUGACGCCCUGCUAACUGCCUUGAUUCAAUCAUUGAAUUUGAAGCAAUCCCAUCGGUUACUGCAGCGUGCCCUGACCCGUGACCCCAGUUUGAUGUUCGACCUGGCACACGACAUCUGGUCCUCAGCCACAGCCCAGUAGCACAACCAACCUGGCGCCUCUGCGCAAUCUGUAAGGAGAUGCCCAUGAACAUUGAAAGGAAAUGCUGUGGUGUUCUCAGUUUUGAUAAGACUUUGGGCUGAUGUAGGACCAGGUGAGAGAAACGGUCUCUUCAGGCAUGCAGCCUACAGACAGUAUGGGGGACUUGAACAGGGCUGACGUUGUAAUACACAGUACAAUACCCAGGAUUAGCCAGGGUUACCCUGCUCCACUAGAGCAAUAUAAAAGGUUUAUACAGAGUACGGUAUAAAACACACAAACCGGCAGUGUGCAGAGUUUUUUUAUUUUUCAUUAUCUGUAGGAGCAUUCAUCUGUACAUCUCACCUUUUUGGUUUGGAACCACGUUUGUCUUGUUACCGUUGUUUUUUUCAUACAUAGAAAAUAAAUGCAACCUGUCAAAUAAUCUUCUGAUUGUGGUCUUGUGGAAUAUAUAAAUUAUGUAACCAUGCAUUUUCAGUCAGAGAAUGAAUUAAAAAAAAGCCACACAGUCAAAUUGUGUCCACCAAUAUUUACUGUCAUUGAAAUGUAUGGACAAUUUAAACAAUGUAUUAUAAAUGACACUAGAUACAUUACUUUAUACUAUAUUUACAGUUGUCAUUACCACACAAAAACUCUGGGAAGGUGGGUAAGUGCAGCAACUGUGAAGGGCCUAGUCUGAGGUUGGAGGCGUCUGUGCUGUAAAAAGAUAAACAGAAUUAGAAAUCACAUAUCUGACAGUAGCUCCAGUGACAUUUUAAAUGUAAGUAACCUGGGUUGUUGGGGCAGGGAC